GUUUUUCAAACAGUUGUAUUGUUUGUUCAAACAGGACUCUAUACAAGAGAACUGAUGGUUAUUGUGUUGUCAAAGGUGUAUAAAGAAUUUGUCUCUUUAAAUAGAGUAGGGUAUCCCGACCCCCCACAAGGGGAGAGCCAGUUAAUCCUCCUCCAAGACGUGUGGAUGGAAUAUGUUAAUGAUCCUUCCGCAGGUUCACCUACGGAAA
rnacentral:misc_RNA from 1 species